CUCUGAUGGCAAGGUGCCUUUUGGAUCUGUCACCCUUAUACCUGGAGACCUCUACCACUUCUCUGUCUGGACCACAUCAAAGGUGAAGUCCAAUAUCUAUCCAGCAAGUAUUUUUUAAAGGCCUACCAGGGGCCUCGCUAUUCUAGGAGCAAGAAGAUAGCAGUGAACAAAAUGAAAUCCCGUCUUCAUGGAGAUUAUGUUCCAGUGGGGAGCAGACAAAUGAGAAACAAAGUCUGUGUGACUUUGGACAAGUUUCUUGAUCUCUCUGGACUUCAGUUGCAUCAUCUGCAUAAUGAGGAUAAUACCUUACAGCAUUCUUCAGAGGGACAAAUGAACCAAU